GCUCUUUCUCUUGCGAGCAACGGAUGAAUCAGCCUUGUUAUCCAAUCCAGAGGUGGCUGAUUUCUCCUUUGCUCGAGUAGAGAAAGAGUA
rnacentral:pre_miRNA from 1 species